UGGCGUAGUGUUCACUGCGCUCGCCUUGCACGCGGGAGACCCGGGUUCGAUUCCCGG
rnacentral:tRNA from 1 species